rnacentral:rRNA from 1 species
GCCUCUUGAUUAAACCAUAAGAGGUCCAGCCUGCCCAGUGACAUUGUUCAACGGCCGCGGUAUCCUAACCGUGCGAAGGUAGCGUAAUCACUUGUCCUUUAAAUGAAGACUAGUAUGAAUGGCCCCACGAAAGCUAUACUGUCUCCUUUUUCUAAUCAGUUAAACUAAUCUCCCCGUGAAGAAGCGGGGAUAAACAUAUAAGACGAGAAGACCCUAUGGAGCUUCAAACAACUGAAACACUUGUAUAUCCUCCCCUCACCUGCCAACAUUUAACCUCACAUUUUGUUUCUAGUUUUAGGUUGGGGUGACCACGGAGAAAAAACUAACCUCCACGACGAAAGAGACAUCUCUAAACAAAAAGCCACAUCUUUAUGUAUUAACACAUUAACCUUUAUUGACCCA